GAUGAACGCUGGCGGCGUGCCUAAUACAUGCAAGUCGAGCGAACGGACGAGAAGCUUGCUCUUCUGAUGUUAGCGGCGGACGGGUGAGUAACACGUGGAUAACCUACCUAUAAGACUGGGAUAACUUCGGGAAACCGGAGCUAAUACCGGAUAAUAUUUUGAACCUCAUGGUUCAAAAGUGAAAGACGGUCUUGCUGUCACUUAUAUAUGGAUCCGCGCUGCAUUAGCUAGUUGGUAAGGUAACGGCUUACCAAGGCAACGAUGCAUAGCCGACCUGAGAGGGUGAUCGGCCACACUGGAACUGAGACACGGUCCAGACUCCUACGGGAGGCAGCAGUAGGGAAUCUUCCGCAAUGGGCGAAAGCCUGACGGAGCAACGCCGCGUGAGUGAUGAAGGUCUUCGGAUCGUAAAACUCUGUUAUUAGGGAAGAACAUAUGUGUAAGUAACUGUGCACAUCUUGACGGUACCUAAUCAGAAAGCCACGGCUAACUACGUG
rnacentral:rRNA from 1 species